UUUUUUUUAAAGCUAUUUCUUUUAGCUCUUCAUUAUCUGGGCUUUGCCUGUUCAUUGUAACUCUAGAUGUGACUCUAGAUGAUUUUCCCACCAUGAUCUGAUUCACUGAGUCAGUAAUAGUAAUAUACAAUGUAUUAUUAUCUCACCAAUGAGCUUACCACAGGAUUGCAUUCCUACUUAUUAUACCCCAAACUAGAAGAAGGUGGAUUGAAGGUGGGAGGUCAGAGAAGGUGAGAUGCAGGAAGAGCAAUAGAGGAGUAUGUAAUCCCAUGAACGAAUGAGAAUAAAAGUGUUUUGAGUAAUAUUCAUCAAAUAUUGUCAAAUUCCUUUUAUCUCUGGUGAUCUAACAUCCCCAUUAGCAUUUAUAAGUGAGAGGGUGUUAUAAUGGCAGUGCUUUGGGAUUUCACAGAGGAAAGAGAAUAUAUGAAAUUUUGAUCAUACACAAGAUCCACUGAGGCAAAUGCUAAAAUCGUCUUGUAGAUAAUUAGAUGUAUUUUGAGUCUAUACUUGAUCUUAGGUACUAAAAUGUUUUGCUGUUAUACAAAUUCUUUUGAUCUUUGCAAUUUUUGGAUUGAAUAUAACCAUUUUUAGGCUAUUUCAAGAUAAAAUCAACUAUGAGAUUUAUAACUGCUAAUGAAAUCAUAGGGUACCCAACAAAACAAACUUCUGCAUUGAGGUUUAACUGAU
rnacentral:lncRNA from 1 species